rnacentral:lncRNA from 1 species
CAGUUCAAGUGUUUGUUCGCAAGUCAGCUCCACGUUGUUUUGCAGUUUCUGGUCGGAAAAUGGUGAAAAUCUGUCUGGAAAAGUAUGGCGCAAGUGUGUGUAGUGCAGAGCAGUGUAGUGAUGUGCAGUGUUGAGUAUUUUAGUGCGGUGUAGUGAUUUCAAAUAAACACAUACAACAUAACCCCAAAUUAGCAGUGCUGACUUAGUGCGAAUCGAGUGAAAAAUGGCAUAAAAUUGGCUGAUCGUGCAAGGAAAUGUUGUGAUAAGUGUGAAGUGGCAGUGCAUUAAGUGAAAAUAUAUAUUAUAUAUAUAUAUUUGAUAUGGAUACCAUGCGCUUAUGUUUUUUUUUCAUGUGAAAUAAUCCACCAGCCAAAAUGCCAGCGGUUCCGUUAGUUAUGUAUCUCCAGUUUUCGUUUGGCGUUUCUACCAGUGUGUGUGUGUAUGCUCUUGUGUGAAAGGAAUGAGAAAUGAGAGGAGCAAAGUAAAAAAGUGGCGUGAUCUAGUGCGGGUGCUUAUAAUGUGAAAAAUUGCAUAAAAGAGGCUGAUCUUGCAAGCAAAAUGUGUUAAAAUGUGCAGUGGCACUGCAUUAAGUGAAAAUACAUUUCAGAUACAGAUUUAAAAAAACUACUUCUUUUUCUUUUAAAAAAAUCUACCAGCCAAAAUGCCAACGGUUCCGUUAUGUGUGUAGUGUUUUCGUUUGGCUGCUCCAUCAAUGUGCCAGUAUGUGUGCGCGUGUGUGCAGAAAUGCCAACGGCAGAGGAGCAAAAAGGAAUGAGCGAGCGCUGUUUGUCUUUACUGCUCUCUUUCCAAGUGGCACAAAGUGUAAG